GGGGUCUAAUACCGGAUAUCACUUCGGACUUCAUGGUUUGGGGUUGAAAGUUCUGGCGGUUGGGGAUGGGCUCGCGGCCUAUCAGCUUGUUGGUGGGGUAAUGGCCUACCAAGGCGUCGACGGGUAGCCGGCCUGAGAGGGCGACCGGCCACACUGGGACUGAGACACGGCCCAGACUCCUACGGGAGGCAGCAGUGGGGAAUAUUGCGCAAUGGGCGAAAGCCUGACGCAGCAACGCCGCGUGAGGGAUGACGGCCUUCGGGUUGUAAACCUCUUUCAGCAGGGACGAAGCGAGAGUGACGGUACCUGCAGAAGAAGGACCGGCCAACUACGUGCCAGCAGCCGCGGUAAUACGUAGGGUCCGAGCGUUGUCCGGAAUUAUUGGGCGUAAAGGGCUCGUAGGCGGUUCGUCACGUCGGGAGUGAAAACUCGGAGCUUAACUCCGAGCCUGCUUCCGAUACGGGCAGACUAGAGGUAGGCAGGGGAGAGCGGAACUCCUGGUGUAGCGGUGGAAUGCGCAGAUAUCAGGAAGAACACCGGUGGC
rnacentral:rRNA from 1 species